rnacentral:lncRNA from 1 species
CUGCAGAGCUUUGUAUCUAAUAGUUCACUUCAAAUUGCUGCCUGUAUAGGAGUUACUAAAGCUAUGGCAAUUUCAGUGAAUUGAUGUAAUUUAACACCCAUAUUGACUGAUUAUUUUGAAGGAAAAAGAAAGCAACACUGUCACUGAGAAAUGAUUCUUCUGCCUGCGGUCAUCCUACAGAACAACUCAUAAAACAUAUAUGUGCAGUUGUGAUUCAGCUGGACAGUGUCCCCAUGAGCCGUGCAAGACAUGCCUCCUUCUUCUUCACCUUUCACCAUAAGUUUCCUGAGGCCUCCCCAGCUUCCUGUACACACUGCAGAACCAGCAUGACACAGUGCAAGCCAUAGAAAAGAUGCUCAAAAAAUUUUUGGGGGAGGACUCAAGAUGGCGCUGUGAGAACAACCCAGGAUUGGAGCUCGCAUUGAAUCCGCAAACGUUUGAAGAUCUAGCUAAAGCUCUAUGUCUUGCUGGGAUUGAAAGCCACAAACAUGAACAAGAAAACAAUUCUACUCUCCACUUCUUCACAAUGCAAAAAGCUGAAAAUCUACCUGGUUUUAAAUGAAGCAAACUGAUUAGUACUUUGUUGUACCUAAAGGGUUUGGAUUACCUAAUUUGCCUCUGACAAGUACUGGGUAAAGAAACAAUAUUGCAUCAGUAAUAGUCAAAAAAUAUGUUUAACUUUGGGUGUAAUAAGCCAUUAUUUUAAAGAAAGUUAUUAUAUUCAUAUAUUUUAUUGUAGUUUUUCAAAGGCUGAUUCACAUAAAGUUAGCAGCAAGAAAAUUAAAAUAUUUAAGACAGUCUAUUCUGAGAUUAGGAACAUGGGAAAUUUUUAUUUCUUCUUUGAACUAGUUUUUGAUUCCUCAAUCUUAAACCCCAAUGGAAAACAUAUUACUAAAUUGGACAUUAAGAUAAUGAAUUAUUAACAUAGAACAAUAAAUAUGAAAAUACCAAUCUGAGUAGAAAUGAUGAGAUUUUAAAUGAAGGGAGUACACCUUCAUUUAAAGUGUACUUUCAGUGUGGGCUGGAGGAGACCUAGCUUAUCAGCUCACUUCUGUAUCAUAGAAAA